UGGGGAAUAUUGGGCAAUGGGGGAACCCUGACCCAGCAACGCCGCGUGAAGGAAGAAGGUUUUCGGAUUGUAAACUUCUGUCCUUGGUGAAGAGGAAGAGACGGUAGCCAAGGAGGAAGCCCCGGCUAACUACGUGCCAGCAGCCGCGGUAAUACGUAGGGGGCGAGCGUUGUCCGGGAUGAUUGGGCGUAAAGGGCGCGUAGGCGGUUAUUUAAGUCUGGAGUGGAAGUCCACUGUUCAAGGGUGGAAUUGCUUUGGAUACUGGGUGGCUUGAGUGCAGGAGAGGUUAUCGGAAUUCCCGGUGUAGCGGUGAAAUGCGUAGAGAUUGGGAGGAACACCAGUGGCGAAGGCGACUUACUGGGCCGUAACUGACGCUGAGGCGCGAAAGCGUGGGGAGCGAACAGG
rnacentral:rRNA from 1 species